rfam:Salmo salar isolate Sally breed double haploid chromosome ssa13, whole genome shotgun sequence.
UCCCGUGUGGCGCAGUUGGUAGAGCAUGGUGUUUGCAACACCAGGGUUGUGGGUUCGAUUCCCACAGGGGAC